GACCUACCACCAGCGCAAGGAGGUGAGUGAGGUUGUAGAGGGCAGGAACACUCCUGGGAUGGCCACAGUGAGUCCCAGAUCUGUCCUUGAGUCUGAGACAGAGUGGUCCAGCCAUCACUUUGUAUCACCACAGGCUUUCUUUGUAUUUCCAUAGGGCGUUACUCACCAGCAGUGGUAUCUGUUCAAUGACUUUCUUAUUGAACCUAUUGAUAAGGUUAGUUGCAACAUGUUCUGUUUCUUCUUUCAUUUCCCCUUUUCCUAGCAUCCUUAUCUUUAGGGCUCUAUAGAAUGCCAGGCAGAUUCAACAGGGAGGGAGGAAGGAAUCCUCAGGAAUAAAAACCAUUAGCACUUAAAAAUAGCACCUGAAAAAAAACAAAAACUAGCACCUGAGUCCUGGCCUCCGUCUGAAGUGGGGGAAAAGGAAAAGGGUGAUAUACAUUAGCCAUAAGUGCUUUUUCUCUUCUAUAGCAUGAAGCUGUGCAGUUUGACAUGAAUUGGAAAGUACCUGCAAUCCUUUAUUAUGUCAAACGGAAUCUCAAUUCCAGAUACAACCUGAACAUCAAGAACCCUAUUGAGGCAAGUGUCUUGCUGGCUGAAGCCUCGCUGGCACGGAAGCAGCGGAAAA
rnacentral:sRNA from 1 species